UGCUGCUUUACCUCAGGGUAAUGAUUGUGUGGACCAGGGCCGGCUUUAGGCCGAUUCCCCGGAAUCAGCACUAAUUCCUGACUACAGCCUGCUGCUUACCCAGUAUUUUCACCUCUGCUUCACUGAAGUAUGGAACCGUGACAUGUCCGCCCCAGCUUGCAGCAUUCAAAUCCCAUGGGUGCACACCUAUGUCUGGAAUAGAUAGGUCCAGAAUAGGCCCCUCAAUUCUAGAUCUGUUGUUGUUGCCAAUAGUUCAAUUGGUAGUGAGUGGCACUUCAAUGGCAAAUGUUGUUAUAUUUUAUUCAUCCUACUCUAUAGUCAGUUGCCUCUUGACAACUGUCCAGCUGGUGGCAUGUCUGCCCUAUACUGUGCAAAGCAUGAUUUGCGCAAAGCUUUUGAGGAAGCUUUAAUGAAACCUGCAGUUCAUAAGUACACAACUGUAGUAAAAUAAAUGGUUUAGUUUUUA